rnacentral:rRNA from 1 species
UAAGCAUAUCACUAAGCGGAGGAAAAGAAACUAACAAGGAUUCCCUCAGUAACGGCGAGUGAACAGGGAAAAGCCCAGCACCGAAGCCUGUGGUCGUUUGAUCACUAGGCAAUGUGGUGUUCAGGUCUACUUUUGGGUACACUGCUCCUCUCCAAGUCCGACAAUGAGUACGGUAUUUCCAACGUGGCCCAUAGAGGGUGAAAGGCCCGUCGGGGAGGAGCUCAGAAUUGACAGUGUGUCCCUAUAUAGACCUUGGAGUCGGGUUGUUUGAGAAUGCAGCCCAAAGUGGGUGGUAAACUCCAUCCAAGGCUAAAUACAAGCACGAGUCCGAUAGCAAACAAGUACCGUGAGGGAAAGUUGAAAAGUACUUUGAAGAGAGAGUAAACAGUGCGUGAAGCCGCUCAGAGGUAAACGGGUGGAGUUGAACUGCGGGUUUCGAGGAUUCAGCUGGUGAUUUUCUCAUAAUCUUGGUUAUUUUGGUUGGGUAGUGGGGUCUGCGUAGCAGCAGGUUCUUGCCUUCGGGUGAGAAUGCGCGGUUCACUUAUCAAGUGAUGUGCGCCUCAUUAUAUCCAAAUCGAUCGCCAGUGCACUUCCUCGGAGCUGUCACCACGACCGACACUGCUGUCUGGCUGUUAUGGUUAAACCGGCUUGGAAUUGUCCUUGUGGCUUUAUCAGGUCGGGAUGGCAGGUUGCUUGUUGGGCUUACAGCUCGCUGUUCGUCCUUCAGGUGUUAUCAGCUGACCGUGAUGGUUCUGUACGGUGUGUUGGAGACGGCGGCUUGUGGUGUAUCCAUGUGCGUUGGUCGGCGUGCGCGUUAGGGUCUGGUCGCCAAGUUGCUUGAGAAAUUGAGCCUGGUGAUGACCUGGAUGCGUUCGGCUGAUUGCGCAUGUGUGACAUCAAUACAGGGCCAAUAGUCUGUGGUGUUGUGGUAGAUUAUCCACCUGACCCGUCUUGAAACACGGACCAAGGAGAGUAACAUGUGCGCGAGUCAUUGGGCGUAACGAAACCCAAAGGCGAAGUGAAAGUAAAUGUUUGGCUUGUCCAGACUGAGGUGAGAUCUCGUCGUUUCCCACACAUGGUUCCACCAAGUUACGAGCGGCGAGCGCAUCACCGGCCCGUCCUUGGGCGUUGGCGUGAUCUUCGGAUUUCGUGCCGUCGGGGCGGAGCAUGAGCGUACAUGUUGAGACCCGAAAGAUGGUGAACUAUACUUGCGCAGGUUGAAGCCAGAGGAAACUCUGGUGGAGGACCGCAGCGAUUCUGACGUGCAAAUCGAUCGUCAAACGUGAGUAUAGGGGCGAAAGACUAAUCGAACCAUCUAGUAGCUGGUUCCCUCCGAAGUUUCCCUCAGGAUAG